rnacentral:piRNA from 1 species
UCCACCUCCCAGAUUCAAGUGAUUCUCCUGC